rnacentral:rRNA from 1 species
GACAAACAGGUCAAGUUAAGUUUUAUUGGUAUAAAAGGAAGUUAAAGUAUUAUAUGUUUAAAAAGUUUAAUUUAUUGUAGAGAGGUGGAAUUCGUAUACAGUAUGUUAUGAUCAGUACUUUUUAUACUUGAUGCUUCGAUAGCUAAGCAAGAAACCGGGAUUAGAUACCCCGUUAUUUUUUCUGUAAAUUUUGAUUAUUGAAUUAGUUUGCCUGAGUAUUACGGGUUGAAAUUUUCUGUAGGUGAUAAAUUAUGGCCUAUAGAUUAUUCAGAUACUUAAAACUCAAAAAACUUGGCGGUGCCUUAUUUCCUCCCAGGGGAACCUGUCCUAUAAUCGAUGAUCCACGAUUUAUCUUACUUUUCUUUGAAUUUUUUGUUUUGAAUUAUCAGUUUGUAUACCGUCGUCGUCAGAUUACCUUUAAGAGUAAAGAAGUUGUCGGAUAAAUUAGAAAGCUAGUUUAUAUAAUUUAUGUAUGGAUUGGUUUUAGUUUUUGAUGUCAGAUCAAGGUGCAGCUUAUAGAGAAGUAGAGAUGGGUUACAAUAUAGAUUUUAUAGUAUGAAUACUAACUUGUAAAAGUUAGGUGAAAGCGGACUUGGAAGUAAUGUUAUUUUGAUUUAGUUUAAAUUAGUAAGUUUAUAUGAAUAAAGGUACUAAGGUGUGC